GACGAACGCUGGCGGCGUGCUUAACACAUGCAAGUCGAACGGUGAAGCGCCUUCCUUUUUGGUGGGUGUGGAUGAGUGGCGAACGGGUGAGUAACACGUGAGUAACCUGCCCCCUCUUCUGGAUAACCGCAUGAAAGUGUGGCUAAUACGGGAUAUUCUGGGUCUGUCGCAUGAUGGGUCUGGGAAAGAUAUUGUUUCGGUGGGGGAUGGGCUCGCGGCCUAUCAGCUUGUUGGUGGGGUGAUGGCCUACCAAGGCGGUGACGGGUAGCCGGCCUGAGAGGGUGGACGGUCACACUGGGACUGAGACACGGCCCAGACUCCUACGGGAGGCAGCAGUGGGGAAUAUUGCACAAUGGGCGCAAGCCUGAUGCAGCGACGCCGCGUGAGGGAUGGAGGCCUUCGGGUUGUGAACCUCUUUCGCCAGUGAAGCAGGCCUGCCUCGUUUGUGGGUGGGUUGACGGUAGCUGGAUAAGAAGCGCCGGCUAACUACGUG
rnacentral:rRNA from 1 species